rnacentral:ncRNA from 1 species
GUAAAGGCUAUGACAAGAAUUAGUAACAUUUAUGAAAAUCUCAGAGAAGAGUUGGCUGGUGAAAAACUCCGAUUGGAUGAAUGCGAAUACGUCUUUGAGCCGUUAUCUGAACUUUUAGUAGGAGAAUCCGGGUUUGCCCGUUACAGCAAGGAGUAUUUUAUAUACUUGCAGAGGUUUUAUUCGCGAGAAUAAAAUGAAUGAAGGUGGUAGCACGAGAUGAAAUUCGUCCUUUCU